GCGGGAGUAAUUCAGUGGUAGAAUGCAUCCCUUCCAAGGAUGACGCCGCGAGUUCGAAUCUCGUCUCCCGCU
rnacentral:tRNA from 1 species